GAAACAGUACAGAGGAAUAGGACUGAGUAUGAAUACAGGGGAAAGAAAGUAUUGAACAAAAAAUAUCUAUAACAAUAAGUUAUUUCUUAUCUUUUAAAAAUAGAUAUGUAAGAAGCUCUUCUUGUUCGUAUACAGUAUCAGAAAUGGUACUUACAAGAACUUGAGGAGGCAUUUCCUUCAAAAUGGAAUAAAACCUAGGGUUCAUGGGAACACUGGUCGCAUUCCUUGUCAUGCUGUUUCUGUGGAAGGCAUUAAAGAUGUGGUAGCAUUUUUGGAGAACUAUGCUGAAGACUACACCAUUUUACUACCUGGGAGGAUACCUGGAGUGAGGGAUUAUGGGAAGGCCAAGCUAUUGCCGUCCAGUGUGUCCCGACACAAGGUUUACCGGCAGUAUGCUGAUGCUGGUAGGGAACAUACUCUCUGUGAAAAAUUAAUUUGUUUAAAGGUCCUACUUGUGCAAAUAGAGUAUCGAAGAGUAAAAGUAAAAGCGCAUUCUCUAUCUCAGGAUUUAAAUAAAGAAGUUGCCUUUUCUGUUAAUGUACAAUGAACAUCUCAUAAUCAAGAAACAGUUUGUUCUAUGGACAUUGCCGUAUU